UACGUAGGGGGCAAGCGUUGUCCGGAUUUAUUGGGCGUAAAGCGCUCGCAGGUGGUUCAUUGCGUCGUGCGUGAAAGACCCCGGCUCAACUGGGGAGGGUCGUGCGAAACGGGUGAACUAGAGGCCAGUAGGGGGAUGCGGAAUUCCGGGUGUAGUGGUGGAAUGCGUAGAGAUCCGGAGGAACACCAGCGGCGAAGGCGGCAUCCUGGACUGGUCCUGACACUCAUGAGCGAAAGCGUGGGGAGCGAGUCCGG
rnacentral:rRNA from 1 species